CAGUCGCCGCGGUAAUACGUAGGUCCCGAGCGUUGUCCGGAUUUAUUGGGCGUAAAGCGAGCGCAGGCGGUUAGAUAAGUCUGAAGUUAAAGGCUGUGGCUUAACCGUAGUACGCUUUGGAAACUGUUUAACUUGAGUGCAAGAGGGGAGGGUGGAAUUCCAUGUGUAGCGGUGAAAUGCGUAGAUAUAUGGAGGAACACCGGUGGCGAAAGCGGCCCUCUGGCUUGUAACUGACGCUGAGGCUCGAAAGCGUGGGGAGCAAACAGGAUUAGAUACCCGCGUAGUCCCUGUCUCUUAUACA
rnacentral:rRNA from 1 species